GUCCGCGGGCGCAAUAUCUCUGCGAAUGAGGGUUAGCUGCUUGCCGAAGGUACAGUACACGGGAUAAAAAGGAAAGCUGCAAAAAAACGGGAGGGAAAUACUUUCGGUAUUGACUGAGAGGCUUUAUUAGCCGUUGAUGCAUGUCAGAAAACAAAUUUUAACAUGCCGGUCCCGUGUUUUGCAGCAAACGGAAAAACUGCUACGGACCUGAGGCUGCGAUAGGCAGAGGAUAUUUAUUGAGAAUAAUUUGCAGACCAGGAUCCCAAUGCAAGUUCUCCAUUAAGCGGAGUGAUCAGGAUCUGAGUAUCAUUGACACUUAACAGUGAAAGGAAAGAGGUUUAACCAUUCUAUGCGUGGGAGAAUACUCCUGGACCUUUCGUGAUCUAAUCCCGUAACAGUGUGAGCUGCUACAAUGCACAUGCUAGUAAAAGCAUAAGAGGACAGAUGAGAUGAGUGCAUGGCUGGAGCUAUAACUUAAAAAGAUUUGGAUUCCUGAGGCAUUGAGACUGUUUGUUUGUUUCUGGGGAAGGUGGGACAUGCACAAGCUUGAACAAUUGUCCUGGGCAGAGCUGGGACAGAUAUUCUUGUUGAUGCUUUUGCUAGUUCCACUGGUGAGGAUUUAAACUCGUAUGACAGGGGAAUGGGAACCAAAGUAUACCUUUAGCAGUAAAAGACUCAAAUCAGCAAAUGGGACGUGAAAUUAGUUCAUGAUGUUGUCGGUGGCUGAAAGAUUAAAAGAAAGAAGGAUUAAUCAAGAUCAAAUCUCUUUUCAUACAUCAGUCCUGUGAUCCCAGGAAUUGGUCUGGUGAACCUUCUUUGCGAUCAUUCAGUAGCCAGACCAUCCUUCCUUUGGAAAGGAGAACAAAGGUGCACACUACUGCAGGUGUGGUCUCACCAAGGCCCUUAUAGAAAGACAUCCCUCCUCCUGUACUCGAAUCCUGUCACAAUGAAGGCCGAAAUAUCAUUUGCAUUCUUCACUACUUGCUGCUGCCUGUUUCCUAAAAGAGAAUAGGAGAGAAACACGGAACUAAAUGGGGUCAGACAGUCGGGUACAAUUGUUGAACACACUGUCCCCAUUGUAUCGGUGCUGGCCAUCAAGCACCUAUUUAAGCUAGGCCCGUUUUCUGGCACUCGGUGUGUAACCUAUAUUAUGGUGCAGUGGAUGAUCAUCUCAACACUUCUUCAAGAUUGCAAUGGUUCCUGCAUCUAUUAACAUUUCAGAUGCUGCCAGAUCUACUGUGUAUCUCCAUCUUUUUCUGUUUUUAUUCCAGAUUUCGGGUAUUUUGCUGUGUAUUCUUAGUCCUUCAGAAGCAUCAGAGGGUAUGGGGAGAAAACAGGAAUUGGAUUCAUUUUCAGAUGUAUAAAAUGCCUGCCCUUCAUGUCUGUCCAAACUCUAUCUCUUUUUGUAGUUUUGGGCAAACGCUGACUGUUUCCUUUCCCUGAAGGACAUUAAAUGAACCAGUUCAGUUUUACUGAUAAUCCAGCAGUGCCCCUCAGUGUUGCAUCCACAAUUGACCAGAUUAAUUUCUGAGUUUCACAAUCUUUGUGUGUGUUCUUCUGGUUUCUCUCUCUCUCUCUCUCUCUCUCUCUCUCUCUCUCUCUACGUUUCUUUUUUUUCUUCAGUUUGAAAUUUUGAUUGCAUUCAGAGAAAUCAAACAAAACCACAUCCAGAUCUGACACUCAAUCUGUUUGUCAUAACCUAAUUAUCUCAGGAUUUUGAACAUUAAAGGAAGAAGCACUGUUCACACCAGGGAGAAAUGCGUAUUGUCUGUGUGUCGAAGAGUCUUUGAAGAUUCAUCUGAAAUGCCCAAACACCAGCGCAGUCACACUUGGGAGAGACUGUGGAAAUGUGGGGAUUGUGGGAAGGGAUUUAUUUACCCAUCCCAGCUGGAAAUGCACCAACGCAGUCACACUGGGGAGAAACCGUUCAUUUGCUCUGAUUGUGGGCUGGGAUUCACUCAGUCAAGCAACCUGCUGAAACACCGAGUUCACAGUGGGGAGAGACUGUUCACAUGUUCCGAGUAUGGGAAGGGAUUUGCUCGCUCACUCAACCAACCUGCUGAGACACCAGCGAGUUCACUCUGGGGACAGACCAUUCACUUGUUCUAUGUGUGGAAAGGGAUUCACUCAAUCAUCCCAACUGUUAACACACCAGCAAGUUCACCACAACCACAUUUGAAGGAUUUUGCCCUUAAAUCAAGGAAUGAACUUUGAUCUUUGGGCUGUUUGUACUGGUGUCAUUAGUCCCUGCUCAAAACUUGAUCUUCUCUUGGGAAAUAAGGUAGGGCAGGUGACUGAGGGGUCAGCAGGGGCGAGAAUAUUUUGGGGCCUAUGAUUGUAUCUCUAUUAGUUUUAAAAUAAUUAUGGAAAAGGAUAGACUUUGGUCUAAGAGUCAAAGUUUUAAAUGAGACUAAGGCCAAUUUUGACACUACUAUGCUCCUUAAAAGCACAGUAAGACCGCCUAUGUGUGGGAAUGCACGAGUUGGGUGAGAUACAAAAAAGUAUUUUACAUCAGUAUUUACUGUGAUCAAGGAUACAAAAGCUAAAGAACUUAGAGAAAUGAAUGUGUAUCUUGAAAAGUUCCAUGUUGUGGAGGAGGUGGUGCUGGAUGCCUUACAGACCAUAAAGGUGGAUAAAUCCCCAGGACCUCUUCAGGUGUAUUCUCGAACUUUGCGGGAAGCUAGGCUUGCAAUUGGGCCCCUUGCUCAGAUAUUUGCACCAUUGACAGUCAUAGGUGAGCUGUUACACUGGAGGUUGGCUAAUCUGGUGCCAUUGUUUAAGAAAGGUGGUAACAGAAAACCAGGGAACAAUAAACUUUUGGUGAGCCUGACGUCAGCUGUGGGUAAGUUGUUGGAGGGAAUUCUGAGGGAUAGGAUUUACAUAUAUUUGGAAAGCGUGGACUGAAUGGGGAAUAGUCGACAUGGCUUUGUCCAUAGGAAAUUAUGUCUUACUAACUUGAUUGAGUUUUUUUGAAGAAGUUAGAAACAAGAUUGAUGGCAGAGCGGUGGAUGUUUUCGAUAUUCCGCAUGGUCGACUGAUUAACAAGGUUAGAUCACAUGGAAUCCAGGGAGAGCUGGCCAUUUGGAAAGGCGUUUGACCUGCAGUAUGCUGCAAGGAUUGGUACUUAGUAGCUAUAACUCGUACAUUCACAUCCAAAUCAUCUUUAUAAAUGACAAAAUGGAGUGGACCCAGCUCUGAUCCUUGCAGCACACCACUGGUCACAGGCCUCCAGUCUACAAAGCAACCCUCCACCAGCACUCCGUCUUCUACCUUCAAGUCAGAUCUGUUUCCAAAUGACUGGUUCUCUCUGUAUUCCAUGUGAUCUGACCUUGCUCAUCAGUCUACCAUGAGGAACCUUGUCAAACGCCUUAGUGACAUCCAUAUAGAAUACAUCCACCUCUUUGCGCUAUUCAAUCCUCUUUGUUCCUCCAUCAAAAAAAAAUCAAGUCAGUGAGACAUGAUUUCCUACACACACAGCCAUGUUGAUUAUCCCUAAUCAGUCCCUCCCUUUCCAAAUAUUUCAAGUACUAUCCCUCAGGAUUCCUAGAACGACUUUCCCACCACUAAUAUCAGGCUCACUGGCCUAUAGUUCCCUGGCUUUUCCUUACCACCUUUCUUAAAUAGUGGCACCACAUUAGCCAACUUCUGGUCCCUCACCUGUGGAUAUCGAUGACACAAAUAUCUCAGCAAGGGGCCCAGCAAUCACUUGCCUAGCUUCCCUCCGAGUUCUCGGAUACGCCUGAUCAGGUCCCAGGAAUUUAUCCGCUUUUAUGCGUUUAAAGCAUCACUACCUCUGUAAUAUGGAUAAUUUUCACGAUGUUGCUAUUUAUUUCCCCACAGUCUAUAUCUUCCAUAUCCUUUUCUGUAGUAAAUACUGAUGCAUAAUACUUGUUUUAUUAUAUUCCCCAUUUCUUGCAAUUCCACACAUAGGAGGCAUUGCUGCUUUUUAAGGGGCCCUAUCUCCCCAUAGUUAUCCUUUUUGUUCUUAAUCUAUUUGUAGAAUCCCACUGGAUUUUCCUUAAUACUAUUUGCCUAAGUUACCUCAUGUUCCCUUUUUGCCCUACUAAUUUCCCUCUUAAGUAUACUAUUGUCAUUAUACUCUUGUAAGCAUUCACUCAAUCUCUGCUGUCUAUACCUGACUUGUCCUUCCUCCUUUUUCUUGACCAAAACCUUGAUUUCUCUAGUCAUCCAGAAUUCCCUAUACCUACCAGCAUUGUCCUUCACCCGAACAGGAGUAUACUGUCCCUGAACUCUCGUUAUCUCUUUUUUUUGAAGGCUUCCCACUUUCUAACCUUUCUUUUUUACCUGCAAACAUCUGCCCCAAUCAACUUUUGAAAGCUCUUGUGUAAUACCAUUAAAAUUGGCCUUCCCCCAAUAUAGAGCUUUAACUUUCAGAUCCGGUCUACUCUUUUCCAUCACUAUUUUAAAACUAAUAGAAUUAUGGUCACUGGCCCCAAAGUCCUCCCCUGCUGAUACCCUAGUCACCUGUCCUGCUUUAUUUGCCAAGAGCAGGUCAAGUUUUGCACCUUCUGUAGUCGGUACAUCACAUACUGAAUCAGAACAUUUUCCUGUACACUCUCAGCAAACUCCGCUCCAUCCAAGCCUUUUAGACCAUGGAAUUCCCAGUCUGUUUGGAAAGUUAAAAUCCCUUCCAUCACCACCCUGUUAUUCUUACAGAUAACUUCUUUCAAAAUUAUUUGUCAGAUUCCUGCUGACUAUUGGGGGUGGCUAUAGUAUAAUCCCAAUAAGGUGAUCAUCCCUUUCUUAUUUCUCAGUUUCACCCAAAUAACUUCCCUGGAUGUAUUCUCAGAUAUAUCCUGCCUAAGUAACGCCAUAAUGUUAUCCUUGCUCAAAAAUGCCACUUUUCCCUCCUCUCUUGCUUUGCUUCCCCCUCCCCCUUCGACUUUCUAUCCUUUCUAUAGGAACUAUAUCUUAGAACAUUAAGCUGGCAGCCCUGUCCAUCUUUGAGCCUUGCCUCUGUAAUUGCAAUGAUAACCCAGUUUCAUGUUUCCAAUCUUGCCCUGAGUUCCUCUGCCUUAGCUGUUAGGCCUCUGGCAUUGAAAUAAAUGGCGUUUAAUUUAUUAAUCCUUUCGCAUUAAUCUCAAUAACAAAUACGUAACUGUAGAGUAGGUUUUGAAAAUGAUAACGUUUUAUUGCUGUAUAUCAACACAUUCACACUGGGUAAAGACAAUCCACCCACACAGUGUGUGAAAAGGGAUUCCCUAGUUCAUUAGGACGGGUUUUCAUAGAAUUCGGAGUAUUCCUACAGUAUGGAAACAGGCCCUUCGGCCCAAGAAUUCCACACAAAACCUCAGAGCAUCCCACCCAGACACAUCUCCCCGUAGCCCACCAAAUGUAUGCAUCACUGAACACUCUGGGCAAUUUAGCUUGGCGAAUCCACUAACCAGCACAUGGGAGGAAACCAGAGCACCGAGAGGAAACCCACGCAGCCACAGGGAGAAUAUGCCAACAACCACAUGCUCGGUUGCCCAAGGGUGGAAUCAAAUCCAGGUCUCUGGCACUGUGAGGCAGCAGUGCUAACCGCUGAGCCACUGUGGUUAACCACCAAUGAGUUCCCAAGAAUCUGUAGGAAUUUUUGUUGCUCGUAUUAUCUGUAUCCAAGUCAUGUUAUCUGGGCUUGUUUCUCAUGAUGUUUGAAAACACCACAUGUCUGGUUACCUAGUUGGGAGAAAAAAUGAUAUAAAUUUUAUUAAAACUA